UACGUAGGGUGCGAGCGUUAAUCGGAAUUACUAGGCGUAAAGCGUGCGCAGGCGGUUAUUUAAGUCAGGUGUGAAAGCCCUGGGCUUAACCUAGGAAUUGCGCUUGAGACUGGAUAGCUUGGAGUGCGGCAGAGGGAGGCGGAAUUCCACGUGUAGCAGUGAAAUGCGUAGAGAUGUGGAGGAACACCGAUGGCGAAGGCAGCCUCCUGGGCCAGCACUGACGCUCAUGCACGAAAGCGUGGGGAGCAAACAGG
rnacentral:rRNA from 1 species